GACGAACGCUGGCGGCGUGCUUAACACAUGCAAGUCGAACGGCAAGGCCUUCUUUGCCUUGUGGUUUGCGUGUCCUCUAGUGGCGAACUGGUGAGUACCACGUGAUUUAUUUUUCCCUAACUUAUGUCUAAGCCUGGGUUACUCUGUCUCAUUCUCCGUCGUACUGCUGGGUGCUGCCUGUCUUCGAACCCGAUUCUCUUGUGUUUGCGGAUGAGCUCUCGGCCUAUCAGCUUGGUGGUGGGGUAAUGGCCUACCAAGGCGGCGACGGGUAGCCGGCCUGAGAGGGUGGACGGGCAGAUUGGGACUGAGAGACGGCACAGACUCCUACGGGAGGCAGCAGUGGGGAAUAUUGCACAAUGGGCGGAAGCCUGAUGCAGCGACGCAGCGUGGGGGAUGACGGCCUUCGGGUUGUAAACUCCUUUCGACCGCGAGGAAGCCACCUGGUUGGAAGGGUGGUGACGGUAGUGGUAGAAGAAGCACCGGCUAACUACGUG
rnacentral:rRNA from 1 species